rnacentral:rRNA from 1 species
GCUUAGCCCUAAACCUAGAUAGCCUAAUAACAACGCUAUUCGCCAGAGUACUACUAGCAACAGCUUAAAACUCAAAGGACUUGGCGGUGCUUUACACCCUUCUAGAGGAGCCUGUUCUGUAAUCGAUAAACCCCGAUAAACCUCACCAACCCUUGCUAAUACAGCCUAUAUACCGCCAUCUUCAGCAAACCCUAAAAAGGAACCAUAGUAAGCAAAACUAUGCAACAUAAAAACGUUAGGUCAAGGUGUAGCCCAUGGGUUGGGAAGAAAUGGGCUACAUUUUCUAACAUAGAAUACCCCAACGAAUAUUCCCGUGAAACCGAGAAUGGAAGGAGGAUUUAGUAGUAAAUUAAGAAUAGAGAGCUUAAUUGAAUUAGGCCAUGAAGCAC